UCCUCUGUAGUUCAGUCGGUAGAACGGCGGACUGUUAAUCCGUAUGUCACUGGUUCGAGUCCAGUCAGAGGAUCCA
rnacentral:tRNA from 1 species